GCCUAGUUAGCUUGGUUGGUAGAUCGUCUGCCUUGUAAGCGGUAGGCCGCGGGUUCGAUUCCCGCCCGGAGCG
rnacentral:tRNA from 1 species